AGGAGGUGAGUGGAGGAGAGAGGAGGAGGGGUUCAGGUGUUCUCAGGUAACGUUCCACCUGCAGAGCGAGCACAGACCCAGCGGGGCUCGUCCAGGUCUGUGACACGCUCCUCAGAUCAGCUCUGAUUGAUUGACUCUGUUAGCGCUCUGUUAAUUCAAUUCAAUUCAAUUUUAUUUGUAUAACGCCAAUUCAUAACAGAAGUUAUCUCAGGACACUUUUCAAAUAGAGCAGGUCUAGACCGAACUCUUUAACAUUAAUUACAGAGACCCAACAGUACCACCAUGAGCAA